ensembl:misc_RNA 7SK 7SK RNA
AAAUGUUAGGGAGAUUUGGCUGUGACAUGUCACCCCAAUGAUCACCAAGGUUGAUUCGGCUAAUCUGGCUGGCUGGGCAGGUGUCUCCUUCCUCCCUUGCAGCUCCAUGUGCAUCUCUCCCCAAGCUACCCGCUCAGUGGAAGAGGACAACUUUCCCUGAUAGAGAACAGAACUAGGAUAUAGACAUAUGUAUAAUAACACUGAUAUACACAUUUAUUUCUAUAUCUAUCCAUCUAUAUAUACACAUAUAUUAAAAAUUAUGAGUUCAUACUAAUAUCUUUU